rnacentral:tRNA from 1 species
GGCGCGGUAGCCAAGUGGUAAGGCCAGGGUCUGCAAAACCCUCACUCGUCGGUUCGAUUCCGACCCGCGCCUCCA